GCAAAUCUUUCCUUUUUAGGAGGAGUAAAACUUGGAUUGGGAGAUUUCAUUUUCUACAGUGUUCUUGUUGGUAAAGCUUCAGCAACAGCCAGUGGAGACUGGAACACAACCAUAGCCUGUUUUGUAGCCAUAUUAAUUGGUUUGUGCCUUACAUUAUUACUCCUUGCCAUUUUCAAGAAAGCAUUGCCAGCUCUUCCAAUCUCUAUCACCUUUGGGCUUGUUUUCUACUUUGCCACGGAUUAUCUUGUACAGCCCUUUAUGGACCAAUUAGCAUUCCAUCAAUUUUAUAUCUAGCACAUUUGCAGUUUGAAUCCCAUGGAUGUUUCCUUUGACUAUAAUAAAAUCUGGGGAGGACAAAGGUGAUUUUCCUGUGUCCACAUCUAACAAAGUCAAGAUUCCCAGCUGGACUUUUGCAGCUUCCUUCCAAGUUUUCCUGACCACCUGCAGUAUUGGACAUUGGAAGGAGGUGUCUUUAGAAAAUGGUUUUGAAAAUUCUUCAUCAUGGUGGACCGUGUCCCUCGGUGCAAGACUACCAGAUUUGAGGGACAAGGACAAGGAAAUGUGAUGGGCCAAGAAGUUGCUGUGCUCCCUCAACGGUUUGACCCUUGGUCACAGGGAGAUUUUACCAACACUGGAGACACUCAGGACUACCAUUACUAAGAGGUUAAAUGAAGUGGUUUAAACCAAACAGGACUCUUCAUCUUAAACUACAUGUUGAAAUCAACCCAAUAAAUCUAUAUUAAUUGAAUUCUGAACCUUUGCAGGAAGUGCUGUGAAGAGAAUAGGCACCAACAUCAAAAUGGAGAGGUGGAAAGGGGCUCAAGUUUUCACUUCCAGACUUCUCUGCUGCAGAUUUAUUAUUUUUAAAUAAAAAUUUUCCCCCCACUUUGA